rnacentral:rRNA from 1 species
UACGAAGGGUGCAAACGUUGCUCGGAAUUAUUGGGCGUAAAGCGCACGUAGGCGGCUAUCUAAGUCGGAUGUGAAAUCCCUCGGCUUAACCAAGGAAGUGCACCCGAAACUGGAUAGCUUGAGUACAGAAGAGGAUCGCGGAAUUCCCGGUGUAGAGGUGAAAUUCGUAGAUAUCGGGAGGAACACCAGUGGCGAAGGCGGCGAUCUGGGCUGAUACUGACGCUGAGGUGCGAAAGCGUGGGGGAGCAAACAGG